UGUUUUUCUGUAUUAAGUUUUUGACAUUCUUUCUUGUCAGAGCCAAAAUAAAUACCAAGACUUUUUACGUUAUGUUUCCAAUUAAUGAUUUCAAAUUUGUCCUUGCAGUGUUUAAGUUUACCUAGCCAUAUACCUUCUGUUUUGUUUCUAUUGAGUUUGAGUCCAGAGAGCGAUCCAAAGGUUUCAAUUAUAUUAAGUGCAUGCUUUAUUUCAUUUUUAGAUUUAAAAAAAAAGAGUUGUGUCAUCUGCUAAUUGUGAAAUUUUUAGACUAUGAGUUUUUUUAUCAAUUUUGAUUUGUAUUCCUUUUAUAUCAUUAGAGUCUCUUAUUCUGCAAGCAAGUAAUUCAACUGAUAAAACAAAC
rnacentral:lncRNA from 1 species